rnacentral:rRNA from 2 species
GGAUGCGAUCAUACCAGCACUAAAGCACCGGAUCCCAUCAGAACUCCAAAGUUAAGCGUGCUUGGACGAGAGUAGUACUAGGAUGGGUGACCUCCUGGGAGGUCCUCGUGUUGUAUUCC